ensembl:lncRNA
AUUUAUGCCAGUAUGAAACAUCUUUGAUCUGGUUGUCUAACUGCAUUUAAAUAUUUAGUACUGUAUUUUAAAUUUAAUCACUUUGCAAUAAAUCAAACCCAACUUUAUUUUCUCUUUUCCAAGAGACCAGUUAUACCCUUGUGAAAUGAACUAGCAUUACUAUUUUAGUUUGAUGACAGCUAAUCCUAAAACCACCUCAUUUCCCACCCUUCUAGAUACUGGUCUCUGAAAAUGCAUUUGUUAAAACUAACAGAUAAAAACCACAUGAUCCCCACCAACACUAUUGGAAGACUGCCUACUAUAAUAAUUUUCCUGAAGACCCAACCAGAAAAAAUUUGUCAGGAAAGAGGGACCAGGGAAGAAGAUAGCAUUCUCCUUUUGGCAGAGUAAUAUGUCUGCUAUCUGGGCAUCUUUCAGAUGUUAAAUACUACAUUAAUCUAGGUUAAUCUUUCUGGAUAUCUUUUUUGCAUCUUUCUUUGAAGCCUUAAGGGGAACCUGAUUGGUUUGCUGUAGCAGCUUCCUGGUGAAUUCUGUCAGAGCUGUCACAGCCCUGGCACUGCCACUCACUGUUUUCGAGGGAACUCUUCUACUCUCAUGUUGGCUCAAUCUCCCUCACCCCAACCCUGGGUUUGAAAAAUUAAUUGCAAAGUCCUAGGAAACAUUAUUCAACUUGAGAAUAAGCCUGGUACUCAUCUUUCAGAAACCAGAGCUCUGCCUGCUUGGUUAUUUGAAAGUUUUCUAAAAGAAAACUAAAGGAAUGCUGAAGAACAGAGGAGCAGCUGGUGAUCUGCUUUCUUCUUAUCCUAACUCUACAAAUGAGUUGUCUACUAUUUUAAAGAGUGGAGGUGUGUGGCUCUUCUAUAGCAGCAACCUGAUGUUAAUUUAUGACACAGGUUUUUGUUUGAAGGAGCCUUAUUUGAAAAUAUAUUUUUCAUUUAUUGUCUAAAAUAUUUAUAUUCUUUUCUUGCUUACUUCAGGGUUGGUAGCUUAGUUGAUACCUGGCAUUCAGUUAAAACAGGCUAUACUAGACAACUUUCAGCAUUUACUUUGAGACUUACAUAAUUUAUUUCUAGUUUGUGUGUACUAUAGUCCUGUGCAUACAUAGUUGAACGUGCAGUGUGAUAUAUGUCUCUGUGGAUGUGUGGCCUAAAAAUCUGAAUGUCUGGUGAGAGAGCUGUGUGUAUAAGUCAGAAAAGAACAGUUCUCAACUCCUGAUUAGUGCCUGUGAUUUGUUUGCUUUUGUGUUUAUCUGGCCUAGUGUGCUAUUCCUUUGAAAUAGGAAGAAGUCUUUUUCUUCUGGAAGAUCUUCUUACCUGUCCAGUCUGGCAUGUCAGAGAACACUUAGCUUGUAACAAUGCCCUCUGAAAAAAGUUUACUUCAUCUGCAGUAAAUCCAGCUGCUUCAACAACUCCUACACCAGGAUGGACUUUUCCUUUGCAGAAAUGGGUUCAAGAAUAUGCUCACUUUGAUAUUGGGUGGGCUGUUUCAAUGUGGGCCCAAAAUAGUCAAGAAUGGAAGAGUUUCUGUACUGCAAGCCAAGAAGGAAAUGAAAUAAGUGAACAUACUAUUUGUACCACCCCUUUCUGUUUGCUUAUUGUUGGUUGUUUUACUGUGCAUAAGAUUGUUUUCAAUGUAAUGCUUGUUAAAUAAAUAUUGUGAACUAUUUUAUAAAUGAAAUGUAUUAUGUUGAAAGCUGUCAGAAGCUGUCAAAAAUAAGCUUUUUUUGUUGAAGUUGAAGUGUGUUAGAUGAAACCAAAAAGUAAAAAAUAAGUGACUUCAUAUAUAGUACCUAUUGAAUAUAAUCUUUCUUUAAGAUUUCUUUUAGCAUAGCCUUUUCAGUGCUAAGAAAGACUGUAUCUAAUAUUUUGUUAUAAUACUGGCUUGCUAACAAAGUAAAUGGUAAAAGUACAAAGUGGGAAGGUGUCAAGAUAACUGGGAAGACUUGCUGCAAAACUGCAGAAUGGAGACUGCCUGUUGGCUGUCUCUCUCUCCCUCCUCUCUACAUCAAUUGCCUACUCUGAGGCAUCCUACUAUGGCAAGCUGCACGUUGGGGCACUCUUUUGGAAUAUUUUGACUGUAGUGUGUCACAGGCAGAAAAGGAGUUGAUUGAAAAUGGACUCUUGAAAACUGACAAGUUUGAAUCAGUGCUAGAGGGAACAGAUUGUGAAUUUUGUUUACAGCAUCCAAUAUUUGGAUUUUUUUUGUAAA